GACGAACGCUGGCGGCGUGCUUAACACAUGCAAGUCGAACGGAAAGGCCCUGCUUUUGUGGGGUGCUCGAGUGGCGAACGGGUGAGUAACACGUGAGUAACCUGCCCUUGACUUUGGGAUAACUUCAGGAAACUGGGGCUAAUACCGGAUAGGAGCUCCUGCUGCAUGGUGGGGGUUGGAAAGUUUCGGCGGUUGGGGAUGGACUCGCGGCUUAUCAGCUUGUUGGUGGGGUAGUGGCUUACCAAGGCUUUGACGGGUAGCCGGCCUGAGAGGGUGACCGGCAACAUUGGGACUGAGAUACGGCCCAGACUCCUACGGGAGGAAGAAGUGGGGAAUAUUGAAAAAUGGGCGGAAGCCUGAUGCAGCAACGCCGCGUGCGGGAUGACGGCCUUCGGGUUGUAAACCGCUUUCGCCUGUGACGAAGCGUGAGUGACGGUAAUGGGUAAAGAAGCACCGGCUAACUACGUG
rnacentral:rRNA from 1 species